CCUACGGGUGGCAGCAGUGGGGAAUAUUGGACAAUGGGGGCAACCCUGAUCCAGCCAUGCCGCGUGUGUGAAGAAGGCCCUCGGGUUGUAAAGCACUUUCAGUGAGGAAGAACGCCUGGUGGUUAUUACCCAUCAGGAAAGACAUCACUCACAGAAGAAGCACCGGCUAACUCCGUGCCAGCAGCCGCGGUAAUACGGAGGGUGCGAGCGUUAAUCGGAAUUACUGGGCGUAAAGCGCGCGUAGGUGGCUUGAUAAGCCGGUUGUGAAAGCCCCGGGCUCAACCUGGGAACGGCAUCCGGAACUGUCAAGCUAGAGUGCAGGAGAGGAAGGUAGAAUUCCCGGUGUAGCGGUGAAAUGCGUAGAGAUCGGGAGGAAUACCAGUGGCGAAGGCGGCCUUCUGGACUGACACUGACACUGAGGUGCGAAAGCGUGGGUAGCAAACAGGAUUAGAUACCCGUGUAGUC
rnacentral:rRNA from 1 species